rnacentral:rRNA from 1 species
UACAGAGGGGCAAGCGUUGUUCGGAAUUACUGGGCGUAAAGGGCGCGUAGGCGGCCUUCUAAGUCGAACGUGAAAUCCCCGGGCUCAACCCGGGAACUGCGUCCGAUACUGGAAGGCUUGAAUCCGGGAGAGGGAUGUGGAAUUCCAGGUGUAGCGGUGAAAUGCGUAGAUAUCUGGAGGAACACCGGUGGCGAAGGCGACAUCC